rnacentral:lncRNA from 1 species
GAUUGAGCUUAGCAGAAGCCCUUGCCAGGCAUGUGUAUGGCCCUAUGUUUGAUGUCCACUACCAAACACAGAAGCCAGUGUCAUCAAAACCUUCUCUAAGAGUGAGGAAAUAUUGAAGAUAUAUGCUAAGUAAACAUAUAUGUGAGUUCUGAACAAAUUGUUCAAUCCUGACUCCGUAGAAAACUUGUUAAAAACAAAACAGUUUUAUUGGGCUACUGGGAGACUUAAAUAUGUACUAGUUUUUAUGAUGUUUUAUGCUAUAUAAUAGUAGUAUGUGUAGUAAAGUUCCAGUUUUUAUAGAUUCAUGCAACAGCUUAAUAUUCAACUACUUCAGAAAAAGUUUAUAAAGUAAUGAAACAAAUGUGUCCACACACCAAUAAUUAUUGAAUCUAGGUGAAGAAUAUUCUACAUUUCUGCAGAGGUGAAAACUCAAAACCAAAAGUUAAAACCAGUAAAACAAAAACAACAACAACAAAACCUUUGAUAUGCUACUAGAAUCAAGCCACUUGGAGACUACUGAUAUAUCUAAAUAAGCAAAACUAAAUGCUAAAUAUUAAACAUUUAGCUCAACAGUAUCUGAUCUAGGUGAGGUGGUGCACACCUGUAAGAGGCAUAGACUGGAGGAUCUUGAGCUAAAGGCCAGCCUGUACUAUACAACCCAAACUGAGUCAAAAAGAAAGAAAAAAAAGAAAGUUAAAUAAAUUAAAAAAAAAAAAAAAAAAAAAAAAAAAACCCUGGAACUAGUGAAUGACUUCUGCAUGUCAGAUGAUAGUUAUUUUUUUUAACUUUCAAACUACCUCAUGGGCCAUUUAUAUAUAUAGUUCAAUAAAAUCUUAAUUACAAACCCUGUGGAAAAUAUGCUCAAUAUGACUACAAAGUGGAAGAGCCAGGAUUUGAACUCUAAAGCCCAUGUUUAUUCAUUUAAAAUAUGUAAAUUUUAUUACAGCAAAGUACUUUAUGAGAGAAAAUGUUUACUUUUAAUGCUGCUGAUCAUGUUAACAAAUACCAAGGAAAUACCUACAAACCUUCAGCCCCUAUCGUAGAGAAGCAAAGGCACAAUCCUCUUCCCAACCAAUUCCAGACAAAUUACAGGAGCGAUGUAAAGACUUAGAAAUAAGCUAUUCUGAUCCUCCAAACCGCACUUUCCCUUCAUGAUAAGUAAGAAUCAUUGCAAACAUGCUUCUGAUACUAACAUUCUUUGAAAUAAUGAUAAGGAUUUUCUAUUGUGGGAGAUGUCACAGCUUAUUUUCAGAACUUGUUUCUUAUCGAACUGACUUCAAUUUGAGAACUGGCACCAUCCUUUACCGUAUUUGUAUUCUUGGGCAAGUUUUUUAACCUCUUUGAGCCUGCUCCCUCCUGUUAAGCAGUGGUAAUAAUACCUACCGUAGAGGGUUGUACAGAUUAAGCUUGACAUAGAACUCAGAACUCUGGCUGAAGCUUGGCCUGACGGCCAUAUUCCACCAUAACAAAAUUGUUAUGGAGGGGAAAUAUAUCACUACCCAGCAUCAGCUAAAGAAAUGGGAAAGGCUGUUUUUACUGGUCUAUGGCAAACUCAACAAUAAACAAGCACUUACAUGCUUGAUGUGCAAAUCAUGUAAUUUUCUGAUGUCUUUCCUAACUAGUUCAACUUCAGCAUAGAAUCAUGGAUCAUGACAUCUAAUUAACAAAAUUUUCAAAGCUGUCCAGAUAAUGCAAAUCUAAAAUGAAAAAAGUCACUUACUCUGGUGGAGGCAUUUUGGAGGGUUCCACGUCUCGCAGGAACUCACACUGAAGAGCCUGCUCAGCAGUGCAGCGCUUACUGGGAUCCAAGGCAAGCAUGUAAUCGAAUAAGUCGAGUGCAGCUGCGGGGAUGCUAGCGCCAGAGGACACAAGAGUCAAGCACAGCCUUCACACACGCUCGGUGCUUCUAUAAGCACUUAGUUUACAAAUUUGAAAAUUAAUUUUAAAUUAUAUUCUAAAUACCAAUUGCUUUACUCUGAUUACCUAUAUCUUUAAAGUCCUUAUUACUUUAUUAACUAAUAAAUUCUUAUUUUAAUUUAUAGAAUAAUACAGAUAGAUAACUGCAGGUGAUAUUUUAAAACUAAUUUAGUAAUCAGUUAAGUAUUAAUGGUUAAAUAAUGUAUGCAGUAUGUAGCACAAGUAUCAAUUUUCAAAAAUCAUUGUUAUUUUUAUCCAGUUCUGGACUAUUUAGCAAAUAAUAUCCUUUAUCACUCUAUGAGCAAUUCAUGGUUAUAAAUUAAAAACUAACAGCCUCCUAAAAUAAAAUAAAAACUUAAGCUCAAGUCAUAGAAAGCUGUUCCAGUGAAAUUUACAAAACUAUUAUUUAAAGUUUUCUUCAUGUAAACAAAUAAAACCUAAUGGAUUAGUCACAGACUUUGAGAUGAAUGGCACUUCACAUGCAGCAAAGAGAGACGCACAACACAAGGCCCUAGAAGAAGAGCUGCACUAUGCCUUAUCUUAGGUCAAGGUGGCACUUAAGAUUUCUUAAGAAAUGACCUUCUCAGCUGUGUGUGCUAGGGCACACCUAUGGUCUCAGCACGAGUUCAAGACCAUCCUUAGAUACACAGACAAAACAAAAAACAAAAACAAAAAACAAAUUUAAACCUUAUAAUGACU